rnacentral:rRNA from 1 species
UACCUAUAACUGUUGCUUCGGCGGGUAGGGUCUCCGCGACCCUCCCGGCCUCCCGCCUCCGGGCGGGUCGGCGCCCGCCGGAGGAUAACCAAACUCUGAUUUAACGACGUUUCUUCUGAGUGGUACAAGCAAAUAAUCAAAACUUUUAACAACGGAUCUCUUGGUUCUGGCAUCGAUGAAGAACGCAGCGAAAUGCGAUAAGUAAUGUGAAUUGCAGAAUUCAGUGAAUCAUCGAAUCUUUGAACGCACAUUGCGCCCGCCAGCAUUCUGGCGGGCAUGCCUGUUCGAGCGUCAUUUCAACCCUCAAGCUCUGCUUGGUGUUGGGGCCCUACAGCUGAUGUAGGCCCUCAAAGGUAGUGGCGGACCCUCUCGGAGCCUCCUUUGCGUAGUAACUUUACGUCUCGCACUGGGAUCCGGAGGGACUCUUGCCGUAAAAUCCCCCAAUUUUCCAAAGGUUGACCUCGGAUCAGGUAGGAAUACCCGCUGAACUUUAGCAUAUCA